AUUGAACGCUGGCGGCAUGCCUUACACAUGCAAGUCGAACGGUAACGGGCCUUCGGGUGCCGACGAGUGGCGCACGGGUGAGUAAUACAUCGGAACGUGCCCGAUCGUGGGGGAUAACGAGGCGAAAGCUUUGCUAAUACCGCAUACGAUCUACGGAUGAAAGCAGGGGACCGCAAGGCCUUGCGCGGACGGAGCGGCCGAUGGCCGAUUAGGUAGUUGGUGGGAUAAAAGCUUACCAAGCCGACGAUCUGUAGCUGGUCUGAGAGGAUGAUCAGCCACACUGGGACUGAGACACGGCCCAGACUCCUACGGGAGGCAGCAGUGGGGAAUUUUGGACAAUGGGCGCAAGCCUGAUCCAGCCAUGCCGCGUGCAGGAUGAAGGCCUUCGGGUUGUAAACUGCUUUUGUACGGAACGAAAAGCCUUCUUUUAAUACAGGAGGGUCAUGACGGUACCGUAAGAAUAAGCACCGGCUAACUACGUG
rnacentral:rRNA from 1 species